ACGGGAGGCAGCAGUGGGGAAUAUUGCACAAUGGGGGAAACCCUGAUGCAGCGACGCCGCGUGAAGGAAGAAGUAUCUCGGUAUGUAAACUUCUAUCAGCAGGGAAGAUAAUGACGGUACCUGACUAAGAAGCCCCGGCUAACUACGUGCCAGCAGCCGCGGUAAUACGUAGGGGGCAAGCGUUAUCCGGAUUUACUGGGUGUAAAGGGAGCGUAGGCGGCGCUGCAAGUCAGAUGUGAAACCCCGGGGCUUAACCCCGGGACUGCAUUUGAAACUGCGGUGCUAGAGUGCGGGAGAGGUAAGCGGAAUUCCUAGUGUAGCGGUGAAAUGCGUAGAUAUUAGGAAGAACACCAGUGGCGAAGGCGGCUUACUGGACCGUAACUGACGCUGAGGCUCGAAAGCGUGGGGAGCAAACAGGAUUAGAUACCCUGGUA
rnacentral:rRNA from 1 species